rnacentral:lncRNA from 1 species
GCUAGACAGAAGUAGUGGUUGCACAGCAUCGUGCAUGUACCAAAUGCCGCUGAUUUGUUCACUUCAAAAUGGUGAAUUUUAUUUUAUGUGAAUAAAAAGAAUGCAGACCGGACCCUGUCACCUCCCCGCCCCCCCGUUUAAAGUCUUCAGGACCCCAGCGAGGGUCAGUCCCACCUGACCCCUGCUCCUCCCCACGCCAGUCACAUCCACCCGCCAGUUUCUUGAGGGGGCCAAGCCCAUUGGUGCCCCCGGGCCUUUGCACAUGCUGUUUCUGUGUUCCCAGUGCUUCCAGCCCCUUCAGACCUCAGCUGCUCCUUCGCUGAGGCCUCUGCCGCUCCCCAGUCUGCCCCCCAGAGCUCCUGGUCUGCCCCGACAUGGAUAAUGCUCGUGUGGGACCCCACCCAGCGGAGAUGCUCCUAGAGUACUUAGCAAACGAGUGACGGAUCACCCUGGGGCCGAGGGUGGUCUGAGCAGCACAGGCCUCCCGGGCCGGCGGGAAAGGGGUACUGCUCAGUGCCCGCGCCCCCACCUCUCUCUCUGUCCACCUGCUGCUGGGCCCGGCCUCAGCCUGCUGGGAGGGCCUGGCAACCUGGGAGAAUUCACCUGACCUUCCGGAACCUUCUGAAGAUGGAGAAGGGUGGGCGGUGGGCUCCCCUGCCCGACACUCACAGGGGUCAGAAGCCGGACGGGCAGCCCACGAGGUGACGUCAGGACCAACGGGGGGGGUCACGGGGACAGCCCCAACUCCACUGGCCGCCCGUGGCUGCAGAGUGACCCCCGAGAUGUGGCCCGUGCAAAUCGAGACACGCGGGAGCUGUGACGUCCGCACGGGACCCGCGAUGUCAUGUGAGAAGGAGGAAAUCGCUUACGUGGUACCCGUGGUAUUUCUUUCGGACGCUGCCGGCCUGGAAAAUGCAGAAACAGACUCAAAACUCCAAGCAUGGCUUGAUGAGCGGUGCAUAGAUCUGUGCCCGGGAUCAGAACCCGUGAACCUGGGCCUGCCGAAGCAGAGUGUGCAAACUUAACCACUCCAUCACCCAGCUGGCCCGGGACUAAAGUUUCAAAUGCAAAAAGCACAAUUAUGAAAAAACAAGACUGGAGUUCCGCCUCCAGCUCUGUGUGGCGUCUUCACGUCCUCGAGACCUUGGCUGGGCGUCCCUCCCUCGCUCGUCCUAACUGAGAAGCCGCCCACCACACACCCGGUCCUCCCAGGCGUGGCCUUGGGCUCAGGGGGACGGGAGACGUGGGUUGGGACACCAGGCCACAAUGCGCCCCUCUGCCCGUGGGGGCACUCGGGCCUUGCCCUGAAUGCAGCAAAGGGCCAGGCCCUGAAGGAUCGGGGUCCUCUUGGGGGGGCUGGGGAUUCAUUAGGGCUGCGGUCGCAUGGGGAGGAGGACGGGAG